UACAGAGGGGGGCAAGCGUUAUUCGGAAUUAUUGGGCGUAAAGGGCGCGUAGGCGGCUUUGCAAGUGACGGGUGAAAUCCCACGGCUUAACCGUGGAACUGCCUGUCAGACUGCAUGGCUUGAGACCAGGAGAGGUGAGUGGAAUUCCCAGUGUAGCGGUGAAAUGCGUAGAUAUUUGGGAGGAACACCAGUGGCGAAGGCGGCUCACUGGACCAUCACUGACGCUGAGGCACGAAAGCGUGGGUAGCAAACAGG
rnacentral:rRNA from 1 species